UUUUACUACAUGCUGGGCACAGUACCAGGUGAUUUCUACUGAUUCUUAUUUGGUAUCCCUGUUUUACAGAAGAAACAGGUUUAGAAAUGUUGUGGGUUUUUUUUUUUUUUUUUUUUUUUUUGAGAUAGGGUCUCAUUCUGUCCCCCAGGCUGGAGUACAGUGGCGCGAUCAUGGCUCACUGCAACCUCAACCUCCCCGGGCUGAAAUGAUCCUUAUACCUCAGUCUCCCCAGUAGCUGGGACUACAGGUGCACACCACCAUGCUCAGCUAAUUUUUGUAUUUUUUGUAGAGAUGAAGUUUCACCACGUUAGCCAGGCUGGUCUCAAACUUCUGGGCUCAAGCGAUCCACCCACCUCUGCCUCCCAACAUGCUGAUAUUACAGGUGGGAGCCACCAUGCCCAGAUGAAAGCUGGGUUUCAAACCCAUGGUUGCAGCCGGGCAAGGUGUCUCACACCUGUAAUCCCAGCGCUUUGGGAGGCCAAGGCUGGCGAAUCAUGAGAUCGAGACCAUCCUGGCUAACACAGUGAAACCCUGUCUCUUCUAAAAAUACAAAAAAUUAGCCGGGCAUGGUGGCAUGCGCCUGUAGUCCCAGCUACUUGAGAGGCUGAGGCAGGAGAAUUGCUUGAACCUGGGAGGCGGAGGUUGCAGUGAGCUGAGAUCGUGCCAUCGCACUCCAGCCUGGGCGACAGAGCGAGACUCCAUCUUAAAAGAAAACCAAAAAACCAAAAAACCACAGUUGCAUAACCCCAAAGCCACUCAUGAGCAAAACUGCAAAAAGGACAGAGGCUGGGGAGGCUGGGUGAUGGGCGGCCACCGUAACUACUCGAUUGAGGACUACAAGGCUGGUCAUGGAACUGUGGUUUCACUUUGGAUGAGUAGAGACAGGCUUUUUUUGUCUGCCAGGGAAUCCACGUAGACACCCUAGUAAAAUCUGUGUUCCGUGUACCUCCUACGCCUCCUGUGGUUUGCUGAUAGUGCACUUUUAUGGUAAGCUUUGUCACACAGGUCAUAGAUCUGCAGCCCAAGGGCCCAAUUCGGCCCACAGACAUGUUUUGUUUGGCCAGUAUGCAGUUGUCAGUAUAGUAGUUCUUAAAUAAAUUCUUAGUUACUUAUCAGUAUUCAAGAAUUGGAAGAGGUUAGGCAUGGUGGCUCAUGCCUGUAAUCCUAGCACUUUAGGAGGCCAAAGUGGGCAGAUCACCUGAGAUCAGGAGUUUGAGACCAGCCUGGCCAACAUGGUGAAACCCCGUCCCCGUCUCUACUAAAAAUACAAAAAUUAGCCGGACGUGGUGGUGCACACCUGUAAUACCAGCUACUCGGGAGGUUGAGGCAGAAAUGUUGCUUGAACUUGGGAGGUGAAGGUUGCAGUGAGCCAAGAUUGAGCCACUGAACUCCAGCCUGGGCAACAGAGUGAGAUUCUAUCUCAAAAAAAUAAAAAGAAUUGGGAGACAGCCCACUACAAUGACAUGCACCUGUAGUCUCAGCUACUCAGGAGUCAGCCCGAUUCUCAGGGAGAAUCACUUGUCAGGG
rnacentral:lncRNA from 1 species